rnacentral:rRNA from 1 species
UGGGGAAUAUUGCACAAUGGUGGAAACCCUGAUGCAGCGACGCCGCGUGAACGAAGAUGGUAUUCGUAUCGUAAAGUUCUGUCCUAUGGGAAGAUAAUGACAGUACCAUAGAAGAAAGCUCCGGCUAAAUACGUGCCAGCAGCCGCGGUAAUACGUAUGGAGCGAGCGUUGUCCGGAAUUAUUAGGCGUAAAGGGUACGCAGGCGGUUUAAUAAGUCGAAUGUGAAAGAUCGGGGCUCAACCCCGUAAAGCAUUGGAAACUGAUAAAAUUGAGUAGUGGAGAGGAAAGUGGAAUUCCUAGUGUAGUGGUGAAAUACGUAGAUAUUAGGAGGAAUACCAGUAGCGAAGGCGACUUUCUGGACACAAACUGACGCUGAGGUACGAAAGCGUGGGGAGCAAACAGG